rnacentral:rRNA from 1 species
CCUACGGGAGGCAGCAGUGAGGAAUAUUGGUCAAUGGGCGAGAGCCUGAACCAGCCAAGUCGCGUGAAGGAUGAAGGAUCUAUGGUUUGUAAACUUCUGUUAUAGGGGAAUAAAGUGAGGAACGUGUGCCUUUUUGUAUGUACCAUAUGAAUAAGCAUCGGCUAACUCCGUGCCAGCAGCCGCGGUAAGACGGAGGAUGCGAGCGUUCUCCGGAUUUAUUGGGUUUAAAGGGUGCGUAGGAGGUUAAUUAAGUCAGCGGUGAAAGUUUGUGGCUCAACCCUAAAAUUGCCGUUGAAACUGGUUGCCUUGAGUAUAUUUGCGGUCGGCUGCCUGCGUUGUGUAGCUG